rnacentral:rRNA from 1 species
UUGUAGAGUUUGAUCAUGGCUCAGAUUGAACGCUGGCGGCAGGCCUAACACAUGCAAGUCGAACGGUAACAGGAAGCAGCUUGCUGCUUUGCUGACGAGUGGCGGACGGGUGAGUAAUGUCUGGGAAACUGCCUGAUGGAGGGGGAUAACUACUGGAAACGGUGGCUAAUACCGCAUAACGUCGCAAGACCAAAGAGGGGGACCUUCGGGCCUCUUGCCAUCAGAUGUGCCCAGAUGGGAUUAGCUUGUUGGUGAGGUAACGGCUCACCAAGGCGACGAUCCCUAGCUGGUCUGAGAGGAUGACCAGCCACACUGGAACUGAGACACGGUCCAGACUCCUACGGGAGGCAGCAGUGGGGAAUAUUGCACAAUGGGCGCAAGCCUGAUGCAGCCAUGCCGCGUGUAUGAAGAAGGCCUUCGGGUUGUAAAGUACUUUCAGCGGGGAGGAAGGUGUUGCGGUUAAUAACCGCAGCAAUUGACGUUACCCGCAGAAGAAGCACCGGCUAACUCCGUGCCAGCAGCCGCGGUAAUACGGAGGGUGCAAGCGUUAAUCGGAAUUACUGGGCGUAAAGCGCACGCAGGCGGUCUGUCAAGUCGGAUGUGAAAUCCCCGGGCUCAACCUGGGAACUGCAUUCGAAACUGGCAGGCUUGAGUCUUGUAGAGGGGGGUAGAAUUCCAGGUGUAGCGGUGAAAUGCGUAGAGAUCUGGAGGAAUACCGGUGGCGAAGGCGGCCCCCUGGACAAAGACUGACGCUCAGGUGCGAAAGCGUGGGGAGCAAACAGGAUUAGAUACCCUGGUAGUCCACGCCGUAAACGAUGUCUACUUGGAGGUUGUGCCCUUGAGGCGUGGCUUCCGGAGCUAACGCGUUAAGUAGACCGCCUGGGGAGUACGGCCGCAAGGUUAAAACUCAAAUGAAUUGACGGGGGCCCGCACAAGCGGUGGAGCAUGUGGUUUAAUUCGAUGCAACGCGAAGAACCUUACCUGGUCUUGACAUCCACAGAACUUUCCAGAGAUGGAUUGGUGCCUUCGGGAACUGUGAGACAGGUGCUGCAUGGCUGUCGUCAGCUCGUGUUGUGAAAUGUUGGGUUAAGUCCCGCAACGAGCGCAACCCUUAUCCUUUGUUGCCAGCGAUUAGGUCGGGAACUCAAAGGAGACUGCCAGUGAUAAACUGGAGGAAGGUGGGGAUGACGUCAAGUCAUCAUGGCCCUUACGACCAGGGCUACACACGUGCUACAAUGGCGCAUACAAAGAGAAGCGACCUCGCGAGAGCAAGCGGACCUCAUAAAGUGCGUCGUAGUCCGGAUUGGAGUCUGCAACUCGACUCCAUGAAGUCGGAAUCGCUAGUAAUCGUGGAUCAGAAUGCCACGGUGAAUACGUUCCCGGGCCUUGUACACACCGCCCGUCACACCAUGGGAGUGGGUUGCAAAAGAAGUAGGUAGCUUAACCUUCGGGAGGGCGCUUACCACUUUGUGAUUCAUGACUGGGGUGAAGUCGUAACAAGGUAACCGUAGGGGAACCUGCGGUUGGAUCACCUCCUUACCUUAAAGAAGC